rnacentral:rRNA from 1 species
UGGGGAACCUGCCCCAUAGUCUGGGAUACCACUUGGAAACAGGUGCUAAUACCGGAUAAGAAAGCAGAUCGCAUUAUCAGCUUUUAAAAGGCGGCGUAAGCUGUCGCUAUGGGAUGGCCCCGCGGUGCAUUAGCUAGUUGGUAAGGUAAAGGCUUACCAAGGCGAUGAUGCAUAGCCGAGUUGAGAGACUGAUCGGCCACAUUGGGACUGAGACACGGCCCAAACUCCUACGGGAGGCAGCAGCC